GCUUUCAUCGUCCAAUGGAUCAGGACACUUCCCUCCGAAGGAAGAAAUGUGGGUUCGACUCCCGCUGAAAGCA
rnacentral:tRNA from 1 species